UGAUGGCAAUGUCCAUUAUCAGCAAUCGCUGAUGCUGGCCAAGGUUUUGCAGGCCAAUGACAUUUUGUUUGAAGAAAUGACUUACACUGAUGAGAACCAUUCCAUUGGCAAUUUCCUGCCUCAUCUGUAUCACACCAUGGAUAAUUUCUGGAUUAAUUGCCUCAACUUGGACGUGGAUGAAAAUGAAAUCUUUUAAAUCAGGGACAAAUUAGUCAUCGAGAUUUGACUAUAUA